rnacentral:rRNA from 2 species
GAGUGGCGAACUGGUGAGUAACACGUGGGUAACCUGCCCCGAAGCGGGGGAUAACAUUUGGAAACAAGUGCUAAUACCGCAUAAUUAGUUGGAACCGCAUGGUUCCAACUUGAAAGAUGGCUCUGCUAUCACUUUGGGAUGGACCCGCGCCGUAUUAGUUAGUUGGUGAGAUAAAAGCCCACCAAGACGAUGAUACGUAGCCGACCUGAGAGGGUAAUCGGCCACAUUGGGACUGAGACACGGCCCAGACUCCUACGGGAGGCAGCAGUAGGGAAUCUUCCACAAUGGACGAAAGUCUGAUGGAGCAACGCCGCGUGAGUGAUGAAGGUUUUCGGAUCGUAAAACUCUGUUGUUAAAGAAGAACAAGUGUUAGAGUAACUGUUAACACUUUGACGGUAUUUAACCAGAAAGCCACGGCUAACUACGUGCCAGCAGCCGCGGUAAUACGUAGGUGGCAAGCGUUGUCCGGAUUUAUUGGGCGUAAAGCGAGCGCAGGCGGUUUUGUAAGUCUGCUGUGAAAGCCCUCAGCUCAACUGAGGAAGUGCAGUGGAAACUACAAAACUUGAGUACAGAAGAGGAAAGUGGAACUCCAUGUGUAGCGGUGAAAUGCGUA